rnacentral:rRNA from 1 species
AGAGUUUGAUCUUGGCUCAGGACGAACGCUGGCGGCGUGCCUGAAUACAUCGCAAGUAGAACGCUGAAGACUGGUGCUUGCACUAGUCAGAUGAGUUGCGAACGGGUGAGUAACGCGUAGGUAACCUACCUCAUAGCGGGGGAUAACCUAUUGGACAACGAUAGCUAAUACCGCAUGACAAUUAAGUACUCAUGUACUAAAUUUAAAAGGAGCAAUUGCUUCACUAUGAGAUGGACCUGCGUUGUAUUAGCUAGUUGGUGAGGUAACGGCUCACCAAGGCCACGAUACAUAGCCGACCUGAGAGGGUGAUCGGCCACACUGGGACUGAGACACGGCCCAGACUCCUACGGGAGGCAGCAGUAGGGAAUCUUCGGCAAUGGGGGCAACCCUGACCGAGCAACGCCGCGUGAGUGAAGAAGGUUUUCGGAUCGUAAAGCUCUGUUGUUAGAGAAGAACGGUAAUGGGAGUGGAAAAUCCAUUACGUGACGGUAACUAACCAGAAAGGGACGGCUAACUACGUGCCAGCAGCCGCGGUAAUACGUAGGUCUCGAGCGUUGUCCGGAUUUAUUGGGCGUAAAGCGAGCGCAGGCGGUUAUUUAAGUCUGAAGUUAAAGGCCGUGGCUCAACCAUGGUUCGCUUUGGAAACUGGAUAACUUGAGUGCAGAAGGGGAGAGUGGAAUUCCAUGUGUAGCGGUGAAAUGCGUAGAUAUAUGGAGGAACACCGGUGGCGAAAGCGGCUCUCUGGUCUGUAACUGACGCUGAGGCUCGAAAGCGUGGGGAGCAAACAGGAUUAGAUACCCUGGUAGUCCACGCCGUAAACGAUGAGUGCUAGGUGUUAGGCCCUUUCCGGGGCUUAGUGCCGCAGCU